rnacentral:tRNA from 1 species
UCAAGGAGUAGUUUAAGCAGAAUUUCAGCUUUGGGUGCUGAAGGUGGGGUUUGAUACCUUCUCCUUG